rnacentral:rRNA from 1 species
GAUUUCUGGUGUGGUGCGCCAGGUCCGCCGCCGUUAGGUGGUGAGUGCCUGUUGUGCGCCUGCCAUCCUUCCGGAGAGCGUGCUCUACCCUUAACUGGGCCGGAGCAAGCGAUCUGGAUCUUUUACUUUGAAAAAAUUAGAGUGUUUAAAGCAGGCGUUUGCUAUGAAUACAUUAGCAUGGAAUAAUAAGAUAGGACUUUGGUUCUAUUUUGUUGGUUUCUAUAACUGAAGUAAUGAUUGAUAGGGAUAGUUGGGGGUGCUAGUAUUGGCCGGUCAGAGGUGAAAUUCUUGGAUUCGGUCAAGACUAACUUAUGCGAAAGCAUU